CGGGAAUUUUGGGCAAUGGGCGAAAGCCUGACCCAGCAACGCCGCGUGAGGGAUGAAGCAUUUCGGUAUGUAAACCUCGAAAGAAUGGGAAGAAUAAAUGACGGUACCAUUUAUAAGCUCCGGCUAACUACGUGCCAGCAGCCGCGGUAAUACGUAGGGAGCAAGCGUUGUUCGGAUUUACUGGGCGUAAAGGGCGCGUAGGCGGCGCGGUAAGUCACUUGUGAAAUCUCUGAGCUUAACUCAGAACGGCCAAGUGAUACUGCUGUGCUAGAGUGCGGAAGAGGCAACCGGAAUUCUUGGUGUAGCGGUCAAAUGCGUAGAUAUCAAGAGGAACACCUGAGGCGAAGGCGGGUUGCUGGGCCGACACUGACGCUGAUGCGCGAAAGCCAGGGGAGCAAACG
rnacentral:rRNA from 1 species